ACAAACAGACAGACGCACGCACACACACACACACUGUGAAACUGUGAAGACAAACGAAUUAUACUUUAACAACCCAUUCACUACAGACAACUAGAUUAACUAGUUCUCCAGGGUGGUUAGUUAUGUCCGGUGCUAUGGUUUUGUAAAAUGGAAGAAACGGUCGAGUGCAACGGGACGUGUCUAUCACCUGGAUUAUUACCAGUGGAUUUCAGCGUCAGCAAAAUGUGGGGACCAGGGACCAAAUGAUCUGCCACGUGUAACCACAUGAUGAGGUGCUAAAAAGGACAAAAGGACUGAAGAGGGAAGAGAAGUGCAAACACCCAGAGAACUUUGGCUCUCUGCCUCUGCCUGCUUAUGAGACUCUGACAGGACAGGAGAGAGAGAGAGAGAGAGAGACGGGUGAGCUGCAGGCUGCCGGGCUCCAGGGACUCUGGGAGCGGUGUGUGUGGGAGGACGUGAAACACACUCAGAUUUUGGACAGCCAGUAUUGUGUAUUGUCCACCAGUUUCCCAAAAGGCCUGAAGGCAACAGAACUGUUUUUGUCAUGUGAGCACACAGGGGGAUGCAGGGAAGAGGAUCAAAAUGUCAGCAGGAAGUCUAGCUGUCAAGUGAAAAAUCCAAAAACACCUGUUUGUUUUUAUCUUCAACAUCAAUAUAUAUUUAGUAUUUCCUGUCGACGCGGAAAGUCCAAAAAACUUAUGAAUCAAUAUGUCUGCUUUGAAAUAGGUGUAUGUUGUGACUGCAUGAGUGGAAAGAUGAUGUGAUCAUUUUUAACACUUUCAUGCAGAAACAAAGACGUAUGGGGGGGUGCAUUCACACAUGGGCUCACUGUCAUUUUCUAGACAUUUUAUGAGGAGGCUGGUUGGACAAACUCAGGAAAAUGUCCACAGCAACUGACUUGGACAUUUGCAUUCUUGCAAAAUUUUCAGUUCAUAUCUGAAGCAGCUUUAACGUUUUAAGCCUCCAGGAAAACAUCAGUGCUCUUUGCAUAGAUUCUCCAAAUUCCAAGCAUGUAUGAACAGUUUAAAAUGCAUAUACUUAUAUGAAAAAGAUAAAUGAGUCUCGAUAACACCUCUUUGUA